AUCUUUUUAGCUUAUCUAAAGAGCACUUUACUGAAGAUAAAGAGGUCUAAAUAUU
rnacentral:tRNA from 1 species